rnacentral:rRNA from 1 species
CCUACGGGAGGCAGCAGUGAGGAAUAUUGGUCAAUGGGCGGAAGCCUGAACCAGCCAAGUCGCGUGAGGGAUUAAGGCCCUGCGGGUCGUAAACCUCUUUUGCCGGGGAGCAGUGGUCCGGACGCGUCCGGCCCGGGAGAGUACCCGGAGAAAAAGCAUCGGCUAACUCCGUGCCAGCAGCCGCGGUCAUACGGAGGAUGCGAGCGUUCUCCGGAUUUAUUGGGUUUAAAGGGUGCGUAGGCGGGCCUUUAAGCCGGCGGUCAACUGUCGGGGCCCAACACCGGCCUGCCGUCGGAACUGGGGGCCUGGAGUGGGCGAGAAGUAUGCGGAAUGCGUGGUGUAGCGGUGAAAUGCAUAGAUAUCACGCAGAACCCCGAUUGCGAAGGCAGCAUACCGGAGCCCGACUGACGCUGAGGCACGAAAGUGCGGGUAUCGAACAGGAUUAGAUACCCUAGUAGUC